rnacentral:lncRNA from 1 species
AACUGAUUUGGGCCAGGUCCAUUACUUUUAUUAACAUAAUAUCCAAGAAUCAUCAAGAGUUCCUAUGUGACACCUCCAAAUCCGGGUACCUUCAAACCCAGAUCCGGUGCAACACGGUACUACCCAUUCAACAUAAUAAUACUGACAUAAAGGUAAUUACUAAUUACUAAUUAUUACAAUAUGUCUAACUCGCUAUCCAGUUUCUUAGACCUUUGAAUCUUUGUUACAUGAUAACACAAUAAAAUUUAUUACAAUCAUUCUAUUACAAAUAGUACAAACACAUUCAACUCAUCCAUCUUCCCCUUUCCUUUGUACUUAUCCGAACCUUCAGUUCGCUCUGACAUAGCUGAAAACAUUUAAUUUAAAGCAAGAAUGAACAUUUAAUUACUUAACAAGUAUUAACAAUUGGUUAACAAAAAAAAAUAAAAUCAAGAAUCAAAUAUUCUUACUGUACCAAACUUCAACAACUGAACAAUAGUUGUGAAACCAUUUCGAAUAACAAUACUUUUCGUUAAACAUUUUUUAAACGACAUAUUGAGUGGUCAUAGGGCCUUGAACUUUUUCUUUCCAUAAAAGGUUUUAACAGUAAUUCAACUAUAAACCGUUUUUAUUUUCAUCGAGGCACGCUAGGUGAUCAACGUAUUGGACAACAUUCUACGGAAACGACUAUAUGCGUUUGUUUUAUCGCCCGACAAGGUCAAUCAGUAUUACCAACCAAAUUUCCCCUAUUGUUUGGGUUCUUAUCAGAUUUACAUUGAAUUCCUUACCAAAAUAAUUUGGGUUGGAUAGCUAUACUUGCAUCAAUAAUAUUUCAAAGAUUUAUUUUCAAAUAGAUAAAACAUUUUAACAUGCGUCAAGCCGAAACAAUUGGCAUUGACGCAACUCUUAAACAGUUCAUGAACAUCAGAAUGUAAAAACUUCAUUAAUAUGCAUUAUAACAAAGCUUGAACAAAUAUUGAAAGAUUUGUAUAAGUUCGAAAUUCACACAAUAUAUAAGUAUUGCGUAAAUCAAAUCAUGCAUACGAAAUAUUCAUAAGAACAUAAUCAAAUGAAUGUAAAACUUGCACAUAAAAAUUAUUGCACUAGGUUAAAAACUAGCAUUCAAUAUAAAAAUUGAAUGGAGUUAGGAUACUUGCCUUUUGCGUUCUUUAAAACUUUAUGAUAAUCGUUCUUCAAAUGUUCUACACAUUUUAAGUAACGAUGACACACCAAUUUGUCACAUAAUGAGGUUAUCUAUCGGUUUACGUUAGCUUUAAUUCUCAUGUUCACGUUUUUUAAUUUAAUCGAUGCGGCCAAGCUUCUUUACAUCAUCUGCUACAGGAUUAAAUCAGAUAGGUAGAACCCCUUUGAUUUGGUGUCAUCUUUAGACUAAGUUCUUUUUUAAUUAUUAAUUAUAACCUUUCUUCUUAGGUGUCUAUUUUAGACUAAGUUCUUUAAUUAUUAAUCAGACAGCUUUCGCCAAGCAGCUACUGCAAGUGACGUCAGCAUUGUCAGUUUUUCGUUUUCGUCGCACCUACUUCGUAACGUCAUAACUCGCUCAUCCGUUAUCGGAAUGAGUUCGUUCUUGAGCCAGCUUGUAACAUUAUCUACAACUCCCCCCGGACGAAAUAACUUUUUUGAUUCUUUAACUAGCUGAAAAAUUAGCUCAAAAAUCCUUCGUGAGCCUGUUUUCGCUAAAUGACGUUUUCAACGUCAAGUUUUCAAAUCAUCGAACUCACUCAUCCGAAGUCGGAUUAAAUUCGUUCUUGAGCCUAUGACUCACUUAUACUAUGAACUACAAAACCCCCAAAAAAUAGGUAUUUUCCGAAAGCGUUAAUUAUCCGUAAACAUGGCCCAAAAAUCGUACCAAGAUAGGGUUUUAGUCAUUUGAUGUAUUUUACUAAAAAUUUCGCCAUAAUUUCAUUAUGGCGUAUGUUUGCAUUUCCGUAACCCCAUAUGUAUGUUUCCUUCUUCUCGAAUUUCAAUUAUUCCAUAUAGAUAAACAUUUACGAUGGUCCAUUUAACAGUCCACUACACAGUUUUUCAUCCUUUACGCUUGGCUUACAUUUUUAAUUUUUCGUUCUCUUGAUAUGCAUAUUACCGGGUAGUUUAACAUUUAUAAACCACACAACCUCCUUAUAUCACCAAGAUCCUUCAUGGUCUUUGAUAGACACAUAAUUCAUACAUUUUAUUAUCCCUAAUUUUGUCCUUUUAAUAAUAUUAGUUUAUUAAAUUAAUAUGUUUUAUUUUAUUUUGUAGGAUUUAAUAUUUGUUGCAAUAAAGUCAAAAUCUUGGUGAUCAAGCGAUAUUCAAUGCUCUUAUUCAUGUAAGGAAUAUUCAAGAAGAAUCGUGCAAGGAGAAGGAAAGAGGUGGAACAAUCUUGGUGUGCAAGUCAAAUCCAACAAGAGAAAAGAAAGUCUAUCUAGAAGAUCUCUUUGAGAAGUUGAUUGUCACUAGGAAGUCGACACCUACAUGGAAAAGGAACAAAAAUGUCCAAGUUCAAUAAAUCUAAAUUAGGGUUCAAAGUUAUUUUCCCUAUAAAGGUCUCUUGUUUUACAGAUGAUUAAGUAUUAGGUAUUGUAUUAGUUUAGGUUAGGAGUAGAAGUAGAUUAAACUACGUCUUUAUUGUACGUUCGUUGGAUGAUCUUUAAUUAAAGGGAGUUUUCUUAUUUAUUUUUAAUCUUUUUCUUUUCUUUAUUUUAGUUAGUUUAAUUAUUUUUCAUGUCUAGCUAAUUUCUUUCAUCUAGGAUGAAGAUGAAAUUAAAUAAUUAUUCUUGAUAAUAUUUUUCAUCUCUUCUAUUAUUUAUGCUUUUAUGUUUAAUUGAUUUCACAUUUAUGUUUCGUUAUUGAAAUACAUUCAUUUUAUAGUUCUUAUGUGAUUUUAAAUUAAUUAAGAGGUUUUGAUAGACUAUUGUUAAGAUAAGAGUUUUUCAUAAUCCAUGCUUGCUCAAAAAAGUUUUGAUGGGUUAUAGUUAAUCCUUAAAUUUUCAUAGUCUAUGCUUGUCCACGUUAAUUGUAAAAUUACUAAAUUAAAGAGAAGGUAGAUCAAAAUCAUAGUUGAGUUAUAAAAAUAGAAGAGAUUGAAUUAUAUGUUAUGUUUAUUAUUUAAUGGAUUCGGAUUCCUAGAUUGUUUCCUCAUUAAUAGUUUUUAUAUUCUAGUUAAUCAAUUUUCAAUCUUUAUUUCCAAUUCGCCUAAAAUAGAUAUUAAGGAUACAUUAAAAUUAAUCUAGUCUCUGUGGGUUCGACCUAUACUUGUCAGUUCUUCAAUUAGACACUGUGCACUUGUAGUACAUAAUUUUAACACAUUAAGUUUUUGGCGCCGUUGCAGGGAACUAGACUUCAUUUUAUAUUCCUUAAAUUUUAUUUAUUUGAAUUAGUUUUUUUUUCUUCUAAUAAUUUUUUUAUUUUUCAGGAUUAUUGAAGUGGAUCAACGGUGCGGAAAGACAAGAUUAUUGCUGCGCUUUUCCUGGUAUUUUGUAUCUUAACUCAAAAACAAAAAAAAAUUAAAAAAUAAGUAGCUUAUUUUUUUUGGUUAGUUAGAAAACUAAUUGUCACAUUCAUGCAUUCACUCACGUAGAGCACAGCUUGUUAGGUUUUUAUUUUUUUAUUUUUUUUGUCAAAUAUAAACUGUGGUGAUUGCCGGAGGAUUGAGGUACGUCAAAAUUUCUCCUUAUUUCGUAAUUCACAUAGUUUUAGGACAUUUAUUUGUUUAUAGUUUUUUUUUAUUUGUGCAUUUUCAUAUUUAAUCUAACCUUAAGGGCACAACCUGUAACAAGAUAAGGUGGGGAUUUCAUCACCCUUCUUUGGCCCACAAACCACCCAUUCAUUUUGCAUAACCUUACCUUAAUAAAAUUAAGUAGACGUUGGCCCCUAGGACUCUCGAGCUCAAUUAGGGCAAGGGAUUCCAAGAGGAGGCUAAAUUUUAAAUUAAUCAAACUACUGGUGUCUAGGCAAGUGGUUCAAAAGGCAAACGCCUAAAGGAUGUGUGAUUAUUCAAUUAGUCAUUGUACCCAUAGAGAGACUCUCACCUUUCUUACACUUACCUGGCUAGUGGUAUGAUUAAUUUUGAAUUUGGUGGACCUUGCGGUGUAACUUGGAACAGUUAGGAGUUGUCUAGAUUUUAUUUAGGUUAACCAUAGAAUUAAGAUUUUUAUUUUAUUUUUUUAUUAUAUUUUUUUUGUGACUUUCGUGGUUAGUUGUCUAUUUGUUUUGUGUAAAAAUGGAUUCUUAUUAUAGUUGGAAUAAUAAUUUUGCUUAGAAUUAAGAACUUUAUGGAAAUUUUAAUGCAGACCAAGAAAAUCAUUUUUUUCCAACUAAUGAAAAUUCUUAUCUAAGUUCAUAUCCAUAUCCAUAUCCAUAUUCGGAUCCAGAACCUCAAUAUCCACAAGAAUUUUCAAAUGAAGAAGAGGAAAGACUUAGUGCCUCAGAGAAAACUAUGGAAGUUUUAAUAGAAAAUCAAUUUAGCAUAAAUCAAGCUAUAUCUUGUCUAGAAAUUCAACCGAGUCGAUUAGCCACCAUAAUAAAUGAACAAGAGGUGGGUGAAUUUUCUAGUAACUCUGAGGUUAAUUUUGAAAAUAUUGAUGGUUGUGGAAAUGAUGAGGAAAAUGAAACUUUUGUAUUCAAUUCUAUACAGUUUGAGUCAAGCGAAUUUGAGGAGUCUAAAAAUUAUGAGUCUAUGCCUAAAAUUGAUCAUGUUGCAUUUGAUGAGUCUAUUGAAAAAGACUAUAAGCCUAGAGCUCCAUACCCUGAAAGACUUAUUCCUAAAAAAUUGCCUAGUGAUUUUUUUGACCAACACAUUAAAGUAAAUAUGAUAAAAGAGUUGUCAAUGACCCAAGAAAUAAUUGAAAAUAGACUCUUGAUUGAAAAAGAUCCAAUUGAUUUUUUCUUAAAUCACCUUGACCAAAAUUGGAAUGAAUCCGAAUAUUUAGAUAAUGUCAAUAAGUUGUUGAGAUCCACUCAACUAAACUAGAAUAUGUAUUUGAACCAAUUCUUCCAUCAUUUGAACAUGUUAGUGAAAGUUUUCUUGAGGUAAAUUUUAAGCAUAAUUCUGAUGAAAAGUCGACCCAUUUGUAGCAUUCAUGUAUAGUCACAUAAUUUUUAGGAUUUAUGAAAUUUGUAGAUAUGUACAUUUGUUUUCCUUCUCAGCACAUUUUCUUGCAGAACAAAUAGCCCGCAUACAAGGUACAAUUCUUUCACAUCUUUGUUCUCUUUUCUUCAUUUGCAUACAUUGAGUACAAUGCAUGAUUUAGGUAUAGGGGGAGUUUGUUUGUAUUAUUGUAUUAGAUUUUUUUUUCUUUUUAGAAAAAUAUAGUAAAAAACAUAAAAAUUUAAAAAAAUAAAUAAAAAAAAAAAUUUGUUUGAAUUUACUAAUAAGUGUUUGUGGAGCAAAACUCAUGAGUAAGAUUGAAAGAUUUAGAACUCUAAAUUUUUUGAUAAGAUACGAAAUCUUAGUUCGAAACACCAUCUGGAUUAAAAUUGAUUUCACAAGCAUUGUUGGACUUACGUUUGCAUUAAUUCUUAGUUGUCGGGUAUAAACUAUGAUUCGAGUAAUUUAAAAAAAAUAGAAAAGAGAAGUUGAAUUCAAUGUCCAUUGAACGAAACAACUGGGUAUCCAAGCCUCACGAAGCAUCGAUAUUCACGCUGAAAAGUGGGAUGGAUAAAAGCAAUUUGACUAGUCUAAUUUUGUGGCUUUUGUUACUCGAGUUAGUAAACCCUUACGGGUGUCUCAACACCUAGUGCCCUAAAGCCAAUUAGUUUGGGAGUCAUUGGUUUAACACUCGUUACAUGAGUAACUCUGAAAAGCCUAAGAAAAUGAGACAUUACACAAGUCAAGAAAAAAAAAUCAAAAGAAAGAAAAAAAAAGAAAAAAUGAGUGAUUGAUUUUCAUAGUAAAAAUCUCUACUAAGAGUUACAUCGUAUACACAUGUAUACAUCACAUGAAAUUGAUUUAAUGAAGGAUGUUGUCAAAAAUGAAAAUAGAGUAUUUUUAAUAAGGUAAAAGUGUGAUUUUGAAUUUAAUCUUACUUAUGUAUAAUGUCCAUGGAUAUUUAGAAAUUUUCUUUUAAUUUCAUAAUUUAUUGAACCAAAAAUAUUUUUUGAAUUUUGUGGGUAUAUUCACUGCAAACCCUCACGAGACACUACUCGUCCACUUGGGGUAACAUUGGGGUUUAAAGGCUUGUUGCACAUGCUAAGUGCAAUCGUGUUUCCUACGAAAAUGGGGUAGUAUAAUUUUUGUUUUAUUUUUAUUUUUAUUUUUAUUUUAUUUUACUUGAGGACGAGCAAAAACUAGGUAUGGGGGUAUUUGAUAGACACAUAAUUCAUACAUUUUAUUAUCCCUAAUUUUGUCCUUUUAAUUAUAUUAGUUUAUUAAAUUAAUAUGUUUUAUUUUAUUUUGUAGGAUUUAAUAUGUGUUGCAAUAAAGUCAAAAUCUUGGUGAUCAAGCGAUAUUUAAUGCUCUUAUUCAUGUAAGGAAUAUCCAAGAAGAAUCCUGCAAGGAGAAGGAAAGAGGUGGAACAAUCUUAGUGUGCAAAUCAAAUCCAACAAGAGAAAGGAAAGUUUAUCUAGAAAAUCUCUUUGAGAAGUUGAUCGUCACUAGGAAAUUGAAACCUACAUGGAAAGGGAACAAAAGUGUCUAAGUUCAAUGAAUCUAAAUUUGGGUUCAAAGUUAUUUUCCCUAUAAAUAGGUCUCUAGUUUUAGAGAGGAUUAAGUAUUAGAUAUUGUAUUAAUUUAGGUUAGGAGUAGAAGUAGAUUAAAUUACGUCUUCAUUGUACGUUCGUUGGAUGAUCGUUAAUUAAAGGAGUUUUCUUAUUUAUUUUUAAUCUUCUUCUUUUCUUUAUUUUAGUUAGUUUAAUUAUUUUCCAUGUCUAGCUAAUUUCUUUCAUCUAGGAUGAAGAUGAAAUUAAAUAAUUAUUCUUGAUAAUAUUUUUCAUCUCUUCUAUUAUUUAUGCUUUUAUGUUUAAUUGAUUUUGCCUUCAUGUUUCGUUAUUGAAAUAUCUUCGUUUUAUAGUUCUUAUAUGAUUUUAAAUUAAUUAAGAGGUUUUGAUAGAUUAUUGUUAAGAUAUGGGUUUUUCAUAAUCCAUACUUGCUCAAAGAAGUUUUGAUGGGUUAAUCUAUGCUUGCCCACGUUAAUUGUAAAAUUACUAAAUUAAAGGAAAGAAAGAUCAAAAUCAUAGUUGAGUUAUAAAAAUAGAAGAGAUUGAAUUAUAUGUUAUGUUUAUUAUUUAAUGGAUUCAGAUUCCUAGAUUGUGUCCUCAUUAUUAGUUUUUAUAUUCUAGUUAAUCAAUUUUCAAUCUUUAUUUCUAAUUCGCCUAAAAUAGAUAUUAAGGAUACAUUAAAAUUAAUCUAGUCUCUGUCGGUUCGACCUGUACUUGUUAGUUCUUCAAUUAGACAUUGUGCACUUGCAUUACAUAAUUUUAACACAUCAGUCUCUUGUUGUUCUUCCGUGUUCUUGCUAGAUGAUCAAAGCUUAGAUUGAUAGCCAUCUCAUCUUCCUCUUCUCUAUUCGUCCCUCUCUCUUUUCUCUCUUGCUCUUUCUCUCUUUAACACUUAGCAAAAUAAGAUGAAAUGAAGAGAUACUUGCUUUGGUUUGCCUGUAUAAAACAUAGUUUAUUAUGCUUACAAGCAAGUUGGUAACUCAUCUUAAGUCUUCUUGCUUUGGUUUGCUUGUAUAAAACAUAGUUUAUUAUGCUUACAAGCAAGUUGGUAACUCAUCUUAAGUCUUCUAGGGUCAAUCCUGAUACAAUUCUGGUAGGGUUCGCAUCAAACAACGACUCAACUCAAGUUCCGAGGAUUCAACAAAUUAUUUCUAGUGAUUAGACUGAAAACUACUCGAGAAUAUUUAUUGUGAAGUUCAAUUCAUUGUGGAAUAUGAUUCUUAGUUCCAUGGUUUGGUUCAUACAAAGGUUAGAGUUUGAAGGAUGGACUAAGAAUCAAGCUCAGGUCUUAAACGCGUCAAAAAUAGCCAAGAAAACGAUUUUGACUGACCGGUGCGCACCGCACCUUUUUAUACUAGCAACUAGCGCGCCUCGCGCCAGAGAGACAGGAAGUUCUGGAGGAGUAGCGCGCCCCGCGCCCAUAGUUGUCACAGCGCCAAGGCGGGAUGCGGCAGUAGUUAACUGUCAGGACGCCUAGGCGAUAAGGCGUCUGUAUGACGACAAGUUGUUAACAAUGUGCAAUUUAUACAUUAUUUGUUUUAUUUCAAAAGUAUAUUACACAAUAAAAUUUUAUAUACUCUAAAACCCAAAACAUAAUAACUAACACAGUCUCUACUUUGUUUCUAGUUAUAGCUCAAACAAAAUCAUCAACUAUGAAGUCAUUUCCGUCACCCACACGAGCAUUCCUCUCAUUUAAAGGAGUAGGGUCAUGGGUUAAGUUAGGUAAUUAGAAAAGUCUAUGAUUUAUGAUGAGUCAUGGUAAAAAAUGACUUACUCACUUAACUUGGGCCCGCUAUCAAUGCGUGAGCCUUGGCGGCUCGACGUCCAAGGCGUUGCCUUACCCUUCUCCAAUACCAGGACGCUUAGUCGUCGCCUAGACGACGCCAUGGCAACACCAUGACAACUAUGCACGCGCCAUGUGCUUUGUAUUCCUGGCGCCCCGCACCAAUCGCGCGGCACAAAUUCCAAGAAAGGCGUUUUUGGCAGAUUUGCUUCCAAAUUUGUUUUGUUAAUUAAUAUUUCUAUUCCUUUUAGGAUUUAGGGUUUCUUUAAAUAUUAUUCUAUUAGUAUAAAUAGAAUACAUGUCUUACGUAAUAAUUCAAUAAUAAUAUUCAAAUUUAUCAAAUUCGUGUGAGAUUAUUCUCUACUUUUGGUUCUUUGAAUAAAUCCUAAGUAAUUCUCUUAGUUUUUCUUUGAGAUUCAAUUUGACUUAUCAUACAACAAUACAUAGUUGUGUGUGACGUCUUCUACCGCGUCAAUCGUCGAUCGUACCAAGGUUCCUGUUUCAAUAUAAACACGAAGUUUAGGUGUCGUUGGUAUUCCAUUCAACGCAUAUUUCAAUUGCUUGAUCGAUUAUACCAAGUUUCUCGUCUCAAUAUAGACGUUGGGUUGAAGUGUCCAGAGAGUUCCACUCUUACAACUUUGCUAGAAACGACCAACUCACGCAAGCGUGUCGUGGAGUUCAUCAAAUCCCCUUAACUUUUCAACCUUACAAACCACCUCCUAGGUUAACCUAAUCACAUGUCAAAUUAACCUAACCUAAGCUAACCACCAUGGUUAGUUGGUGGGGUUUUUAAUGCUAAAUUACAAGAAUUAGGGUAGUUUGGUCAAUAGACCUCCAAAAUUCUUUGGCUCCAAGUCUUCCAAUCUUUUGACUCCAAGUUUCUAGGUUUUAACUCUAGGCUCAACCCUUGGCAAGUCUUUCAAACCCUAACCAAACCUUUCAAACCUAGGCUUGGUUAGACCAAACUAAGUUGGUUACUCAUUUUCUUAACUUUUGCGGUUACGUUUCGUAACUCGAUCGAUUAGCCAAAAAAUUGCCUUUUACGUUUCGUAAUUUUGAUUAUGCUUUUCGUCCCCAUUUCCUGAAUAAACGUUAUGUCGUAAUUCAAAAAGUUGAAAAAAUCUUUUUAGCGUGAAUGGUGAGUUUACGUCUUUUCUCGAAAAAAAAAUUAUUUUCUUCUUACGAACCUUAAACACACAUAUUCAGUUACCUAACUCAUAAUCGAGGUCAUAAUACAACCUUAAAUCACAUAAAACAAAAUAUUAUCCAUAAAGUCUCGUUUUAUUAAAUAAUAUUCCUAAACCUUAAUUACAAGGUGAUUCGAGAAUCGUUACAUCAUAGACAACAAAAAUUUAAGAUGUGGAAAUACUUCUGUAAAAUAUUAAGCACUAGCCUCAGUACUCAGUAGUAUGAUUCAACAUGUGAAAUAAUAGAAUUUAUUACCCUCAUUGAUGAGUUCAAACAACUCAAAAUGAGCUAUACAUGAACAGGCUUUUCAAGUAGAGACGUGGCUAGCAGCCUCGCUCUAGGUUUGACUCUAGUCCAUUAAUUUGUUAAAAUAGAGAGGAAUGUGUUUCAUUACAUUCCAAAACUUACAAGCAGAAGACCUAUCAACAGAGGUAGUUGCCAAAUGAAGUAACUUUUAACCAGAAGAAUUUUCAGAUCAAACAAUAAUCAGAACACAGUCAAUAGAAACAAGAAGAGUGGAAUCAGCAAACCAUGAGAUAUUAUGGUGGACUCAAGCGCAACAACUGCUUUCCCUCGUGAUAAAGCUUCAGAAACAUCAGGGGAUACCUUGACAAGCCCUACGCCAACAUUCUCAUUCCCUCCCUAUAAGGAAACUUAUUUCAUUUUUCCACUAGCAAAUCGAACAUAAAUUACCCCAAACACAAAAUGAAAGAAAGUCCAAGAUUUUGAAAACACAUGUUAUUACCAACAAUUGUUGCGCUCGAGUCUCAACUACAUUCUUUUCUGGGAAUAAUUAAGUAAAUUCAUUAAAAAUUAUAAAUCCAAAUAGAUUCUCUAAAAGUGAAAGUAGAACUAAAACAUAAUUAUGAAUUAUCCCAAAUCCUGCAAAUUAAUUGCAUUUUUCCUUGAAAACAAUUGAGCAUGGAUUUUCAGAACAAAAAUAUCCCAAUCUAUUUAAAAAAAUUAAUUUAUUCCACAUAAUAGCUACUACAAUCAAGUUCAUUUUUAUCAGUAUGAUUAAAGACACAUUAAAUAUAAUCUUUUGAUUCCAAUAGCAGCAAUGAAUAGAAAAAAUGUGAUAAAAAAAACACACAUUUUAUGAUUUAGAACUGUCACCGACGUCAAAUAUGGUGUAAGAAACUUAGAAACUCUCCCAAAUUUCAUAAUCUUCUGUCAGUUUACCAUUAAAAAUAAAUAAAUUGAAAUCCCAUUAUUCUAAACACGAAAGAAUCAGAUAAAAAAGCCCACAGAGUUCCGAAAAACAUCCCAGUUUAUUAUAAUUGCUAAUUUCAUAUCUCUUCUUUUCUAUCAAUAAAUCUCUAAUCGCUUCUGUAUAAGUGACAGUAAAACCAACUAAUCAACAAUUCUGUAAAUUAAUGGUAUUAUUCAGUUGUUGAUUCCGUUUAAUUAUUCAAUCCAAAUAUCACAUAAUCAAGAGUAAUAAUAAGUUAACAACCUAGUCACCAAAAAUACAUGAUCUUAAACAUCUAAUUUAGCUCAAUCUCAUCAACUACAAAUAUAAAUGAAAUCUAACUUCAAGAAAACUACGCACAAUUACAAAUAUAUGUAAUAUCUGUAUAUAUAUGUAUUACCUUCCUAAUUGAGUCUGCAGAGUUAAAAUGUCUUUGAAGGUUAGCUAUCCUCGAAAUAGCUGAAGACGCCAUUGCUGAAAUGAUAGAGAGAGGGAGGGGAAGUUGAAAAGAAGGGUACUCUUUAUUUUCGAAAGAACACAGUUGAGUCGUUUAACUAAAAUGAAAAAAUUACUGAAUUAGUGUGCAGAGUAAUAU